rnacentral:rRNA from 1 species
CCAGACUCCUACGGGAGGCAGCAGUGGGGGAUAUUGCACCAUGGGGGGAACCCUGAAGCAGCAACGCCGCGUGGAGGAUGAAGGUUUUCGGAUUGUAAAGUCCUUUUGUUAGAGAAGAUAAUGACGGUAUCUAACGAAUAAGCACCGGCUAACUCCGUGCCAGCAGCCGCGGUAAUACGGAGGGUGCAAGCGUUACUCGGAAUCACUGGGCGUAAAGAGCGCGUAGGCGGGAUAGAAAGUCAGAUGUGAAAUCCUAUGGCUUAACCAUAGAGCUGCAUUUGAAACUGGUAGUCGAGAGUAUGGGAGAGGUAGGUGGAAUUCUUGGUGUAGGGGUAAAACCCGUAGAGAUCAAGAGGAAUACUCAUUGCGAAGGCGACCUGCUAGAGCAUAACUGACGCUGAUGCGCGAAAGCGUGGGGCUCACACAGGAUGAGAGACCCCAGGAU